rnacentral:tRNA from 1 species
GGGGGGGUCGCAUAGUGGCCUAGUGCGGGCGCCUGCUAAGUGCCUAUCCUGAGUAAUUGGGAUCGCGGGUUCGAAUCCCGCCCCCUCCGCCA